rnacentral:rRNA from 1 species
CACUCCUACGGGAGGCAGCAGUGGGGAAUAUUGCACAAUGGGCGCAAGCCUGAUGCAGCCAUGCCGCGUGUAUGAAGAAGGCCUUCGGGUUGUAAAGUACUUUCAGCGGGGAGGAAGGCGAUAAGGUUAAUAACCUUGUUGAUUGACGUUACCCGCAGAAGAAGCACCGGCUAACUCCGUGCCAGCAGCCGCGGUAAUACGGAGGGUGCAAGCGUUAAUCGGAAUUACUGGGCGUAAAGCGCACGCAGGCGGUCUGUCAAGUCGGAUGUGAAAUCCCCGGGCUCAACCUGGGAACUGCAUUCGAAACUGGCAGGCUAGAGUCUUGUAGAGGGGGGUAGAAUUCCAGGUGUAGCGGUGAAAUGCGUAGAGAUCUGGAGGAAUACCGGUGGCGAAGGCGGCCCCCUGGACAAAGACUGACGCUCAGGUGCGAAAGCGUGGGGAGCAAACAGGAUUAGAAACCCUGGUAGUCCCAU